rnacentral:rRNA from 1 species
UACGUAGGGCGCAAGCGUUGUCCGGAAUUAUUGGGCGUAAAGAGCUCGUAGGCGGCUUGUCACGUCGAUUGUGAAAGCCCGAGGCUUAACCUCGGGUCUGCAGUCGAUACGGGCUAGCUAGAGUGUGGUAGGGGAGAUCGGAAUUCCUGGUGUAGCGGUGAAAUGCGCAGAUAUCGGGAGGAACACCAGUGGCGAAGGCGGCACUCUGGGCCGGUACUGACGCUGAGGAGCGAAAGCGUGGGGAGCGAACAGG